UGGGGAAUCUUGGACAAUGGGCGCAAGCCUGAUCCAGCCAUGCCGCGUGGAUGAUGAAGGCCUUAGGGUUGUAAAAUCCUUUUCGCCGAGGACGAUAAUGACGGUACUCGGAGAAGAAGCUCCGGCUAACUUCGUGCCAGCAGCCGCGGUAAUACGAAGGGGGCUAGCGUUGUUCGGAUUUACUGGGCGUAAAGCGCAUGUAGGCGGGCCGUUAAGUUAGGGGUGAAAUCCCGAGGCUCAACCUCGGAACUGCCUCUAAAACUGGCGGCCUGGACCUAAGUAGAGGCAAGUGGAAUUGCGAGUGUAGAGGUGAAAUUCGUAGAUAUUAGGAAGAACACCAGUGGCGAAGGCGGCCAACUGGCUCGAUACUGACGCUGAGGUGCGAAAGCGUGGGGAGCAAACAGGAUUAGAUACCCAGGUAGUCCCUGAGCGGGCUGGCAAGGCGCAU
rnacentral:rRNA from 1 species